rnacentral:lncRNA from 10 species
GUUUUUGUGUGAACAUAAACUUUCGAUUCAUUUGGAUAAACACCAGGGAACACAAUUGCAAGAUCAUGUGGAGAAAGGAAAGAAUAGAAAAGGUACUGAACUCCAGGUCCAAGUCAAUCAUCUUUGCUUCUCUCACAUUGUCAUCGACAUUUACCCCAGCAUUAUCCUCAUCGCUUCAUCACUACUGCCACCCCAACCAAUCUGCCUCCUCUGUAUAAGGCUGGAAGACAGAGAUCCACCAGGCUCUCAAUUGAAAGCCCUGGAGGGCUACACCCUAAGAACAGAAGUGAAUCGGAGGUACACUUAGCAAAACUGAAACCAGCUUCUGAUUCAGAAUAAUCUCUGACUCGAUUGAGGUGAUCAAAGGCUAUUCUACCUGCCCAACAGAAGAAAAAGGGAACACUUUCGGUGGAAGGCAAUAUCAUCUGGACCCUUUAUGGUUUUAUUAUACAUAAUGUCUAACAUUUUUUAAAUUACUAGAUGUGGAAGAUCAAGUUCAUUUGCCCAAUAAUCAAGAGAAAAAAACACACACAAUAGAAACACAAUUAUAGAUGAUCAAGAUAUUGUAAUCAGCAAAUGAGAAUUUACAAAUAAUUUUUAUGAAUAUGUUUAAGAAAAUAAAGUGCAAAAUUGAUGAGGAAAUGGACAAUUUUCAGUAAAACUAACCUAUAAAAAAGAUUUCUUUAGGCAUUCUAAAUUUGAAAAAAUAUACUAUCGUCAGUUAAGAAAUCAAUAUAUGGAGAAAACUGCAGUGGAAAGGAUCAGUAGAGAUAGCAGUGUGUCCAACAGCCAAGAAAGUAGGGUGGCGGGCAUACAGAUAGUGAUGUGCAUAGGGGCAAAAGAAGUCAUAAUGGGAAAGCCAUGUGGAGGCAGCAGAGUGCCUGGUGUCCAAGGAAGCAUGUAUAGGGGGUACAUAUGGUGGCAGUUGUAUGCUCAGCAGAAGAAGCACCAGGGAGGUGAAGGUCACGUUGACAGCAUGAACCUUCGAUGUGAUGUGAGGAAAAUGGCAUUCUACCUCUGUGUUCUUCCUCCCCAAAAUUUGUAACCACCAUCUAAUCAUGAGGAAAACAUCAUACAAGUCCAAAUUGAGGAAGAUUCUACAAAAUGCCUGAUUAAUAUUCAUCGAAACUGUCAAGGUCAUCAAAAGCAAGGAAAGUCUGAGAAACUGCCACAGCCUAAAGACAAUCCAGGGAAACGUGAUGACUCAGUGGUAUUCGGGGUGGGUUUCUGGAACAGCAAAAGGACAACAGGCACUGGACUUCAUUACUUCCUUACUGCAACCUGGCGCUUAAAGUGCUAUCAUCACAAGGAUGAAGAAACAGUUCAGAAAGGCUGAUUGAGAUGGCUAUGGUCAUGCCUUAUACCACUGGCAGGU